UUCAAUCUGAAUCUGAUUUUUGAAUGGAGAAGGUUGUGGAUCUUAAUGGAUGGAAGUUACUAGCCGAGAAGGCAAGGCUUAAUUGAGUGACGGCGGCGGCGGAUGAAGGCUUCUCCGGCGAUCAGAGGAUGACCUGAACUACGGCGAGGAUGUUUCGCCGGGCGAACAGGCCCCAUCCGUGUAUUGCAGAUCUGCCAAAGCAGACUUUGUCCUUUUCGGUUCUCUGGAUUAGCAGAAAAGCGUUGACAAGGUGAGCGAUUAAGUUAAGCAGCAGAAAUCAAUAGCGCCGAACAGAUAUUACCUGCAAAUGAUGAAGCCGUUCUCUAAACGUGGAGAAGUCCUUCGGCUUUUCUAACUUCUGUUUCAGACAGGAAAGGCGUAAGCGACUUACUCGAAGACAUGGAUAAUCUAAGGGUGUGUUUGUUUGGGGGUUUGGAUUUUGAGUUGGGAUUUGAAUAGUAAAAAUUUUGUAUUUGAAUAGUAAAAAUUUUGUAUUUGAAUAGUUGUAUGAUGUGAUAUAAAUAGGUGGUGAUGUGAUGUUUUGAAUGUACAAUUAAUUUUUAGUAUAAUAUAAAAAAUAAAAAAUAGGUGUUUGAUUUGAUGUUUUUAGGAGGAAAAAAAUAGGAUGAAUAGUGAAUUAGAAAUCCAAUCCCCAAACAAACACGCCCUAAACAGAUUAAAAGGGCGUGGGCGUACCCGAUUUAUAUUCAAGCUUUGUAUUCUGCCCAUGGAAUGAUGCCGAGGUCCCAUGAUCUGGUGCACGACGGCUUCUUUUCCAAUCUACGACGCAAUCAAGAACAAAUCGGACGGCAUCUAGCAGCGGAGAACGGAUCGACUUCAUCUGCAUCGACAGGCGGUUCCUCGAGCUUCAACCGGUUAGUCGAGAUUAGCCUCGCGCCCGUGUGGCGUUUGCUUUGGAUAAGGCUUUUAGCCAAGAUAG